rfam:Hydrogenophaga sp. A37 NODE_167_length_1903_cov_27.0377_ID_333, whole genome shotgun sequence.
CGCCUUGUGGGUGAAAGCCCGACGGCCGAGCCGGAGCGAGAAGUCAGCAGAGGUCGUAGUAGCUGCAAGCCGGGGCCGAUGAGGCCACAAGGCCAGAGCGAAGGAC